UUCUGGAGCUGUCUUUGGUGGGGAUUAGGUUGUGAAACAGUGGCUCCCACCACCCACAUAGCAAGGAUCAAUCUUUUUCCUUUCUUUUCUUUCAACGCUCGUUUUAUAUUCAUAAUACAUCGACGUCGUAUUUCAGAGGGCAUGUCAAGCAUAUAAAGUCCAAUCCAACCUGAGCAGCUGAGCUUUCUAUUUUGUCGAUUCUCUCUUUCUCUGGCCUCUCUAUUGUAUGUUCUUAUUGGGUUCUUGCUAAAAGAAAGAAACCCAGUAAUAAAACUAGAUGGAGUUCUUGUAUAACCAGCUUGCCAAGUCUUCAUACAAAGAGUCCCUAAAAGUUCUAGAGGCUGAUAUACAACAUGCCAACGCUUUGGCAGCUUCAAUUCCGAGAGCCAAGGGUGGUGCAUGUCUUCAAUUGAAAUUGGCUUACAGUCACUUGACGCCCCUUAUUCUGCUUUUGCUUCAAUGGAUGGAUUGUUCCUGUACCUGUCUACUCCCAAGAUAUCUAAACCUUUUUCAUAUACUUGUAUACAAGGUUUAUGCGGAUGGACGACCCAAAAUUGCUUCAUACGGAAGGAAGGCAACAAUUAGGGAAUUUUAUGCUGUUAUAUUGCCAUCUCUCCAACAACUCCAUGGUAAAUCAGUGGAGCUAGGCAUAACUCAAGAAAAGAGCCGUAGGAUGGAGAUGAUUGGAAGGAAUUUGGAUGAGAGGAAGAAGCUCUCCGAUGUGGACUUGGAAAGAGAAGAUGAAUGUGGGAUUUGCAUGGAACCAUGUACCAAGGUGCUCCUGCCUAGUUGUUGCCAUGCAAUGUGUAUUAACUGCUACCAUGACUGGAAUACAAGAUCGGAAUCCUGCCCUUUUUGCCGGGGUAGCAUAAAGAGAGUUAAAUCAGGAGACUUGUGGGUGCUAACAAGUAGUGGUGAUGUCGCUGACGCAGAGACUGUAGCCAAAGAGGAUCUGUUACGCUUCUACCUCUAUAUCAAUAAGCUGCCAAAAGAUAUCCCAGACACCCUUUUCUUAGUGCAUUAUGAGUACUUAAUCUGAUCAAAAGGAGAUUAUAAGUGCAAUGUACAGGAACUCUUGAUCUGAUCGGAAGAAUUUGGGAAGAAUGAUGUACAGAAAAUGAAAAGCCGACCUUACAAUGUGAAGAGUCUGCAACGGUUGAGGAAUCAUAGAUGCCAUAUUCCUAUUGAGUGAAUGAACAGUUGAAACAUGUUGGAGGAAACAAUAGUAACUGGGUGGAUUACUAGUUGCUCUCUGGCAAUAUUAAAUUUCACUAGUUCUCACCACAAAGAAUUGUUGCCAGCGCACCAUCAAGUGUUAUCUAGGUAAUAGUAUGGUUUAUAGAUGCUUUGACAAGGGUUGCUCGGGCUUUUUGAAGAAUGCAUUCACUUUGCUCUUAUGUGGUUGCUUUGUGCUGUUGUGCAUAGGCAACAUGUUCUGAUGGGAAACCAUGAUACAAUGCUUGUGUUUUCCCCCUUUUUAAAUGCUCCUGUGUACACAAUAUAUCAUUUCCUGUAAAGACAAGGCAAUGCAAGUGUGCUAUUUAGCAUGUAUCCUGUAACGGAAUAACAUGUCUUCCUUCAGCCAUAAAUUAUUCAGAACUUCAUAACUUUUUGCUGUUUUGUCAGUCUGGGAUAUUUGAUGUAACAGGGAUUUUGUUUCAUGUUAUUUGAUGUACUGAUCUGUUAGAUAAAUGCCAAAGUUAUGCUUUUCAUA